UAAGACGGCCUCCCACAUCCAAGGAAGGCAGCAGGCGCGUAAAUGACCCAAUCCUGACACAGGGAGGUAGUGACAAAAAAUAACAAUGACGGGGCCUUUGUAGGUCUGUCAAUUGGAAUGAGAACAAUCUAAACCCCUUAACGAGUAUCAAUUGGAGGGCAAGUCUGGUGCCAGCAGCCGCGGUAAUUCCAGCUCCAAUAGCGUAUAUUAAAGUUGUUGCAGUUAAAAAGCUCGUAGUUGGAUUUUUGGUUCGAUCUGCCGGCCCGGGCUAUUGUCUGUGGCUGUGCGGGUCGUCCUUUCUUGGGUGGAUCCUGUGUGGCAUUAGGUUGUCGCGCUGGGGAUGCCCAUCUUUUACUGUGAGAAAAUUAGAGUGUUCAAAGCAGGCUUAUGCCGUUGAAUAUGUUAGCAUGGAAUAAUAAGAUAGGACCUUGGUACUAUUUUGUUGGUUUGCGCACUGAGGUAAUGAUUAAUAGGGACAGUUGGGGGUAUUUGUAUUCCAUUGUCAGAGGUGAAAUUCUUGGAUUUUUGGAAGACAAACUACUGCGAAAGCAUUUACCAAGGAUUUUUCAUUAAUCAUAAACGAAAGUUNGUGCUCCAAAU
rnacentral:rRNA from 1 species